UACAGAGGUCUCAAGCGUUGUUCGGAUUCAUUGGGCGUAAAGGGCGCGUAGGCGGCGGGGUAAGUCUGGUGUGAAAUCUAGGAGCUCAACUCCUAAACUGCACUGGAUACUGCUCUGCUAGAGGACUGGAGAGGAGACUGGAAUUCCCGGUGUAGCGGUGAAAUGCGUAGAUAUCGUAAGGAAGACCAGUGGCGAAGGCGGGUCUCUGGACAGUUCCUGACGCUGAGGCACGAAGGCCAGGGGAGCAAACGGG
rnacentral:rRNA from 1 species